AACCUGGUUGAUCCUGCCAGUAGUUAUAUGCUUGUCUCGAAGAUUAAGCCAUGCAUGUCUUAGUGCACGCCUCUGUUAUGGUUAAACCGCAAACGGCUCAUUAAAUCAGCCAUGGUUCCUUGGAUCGUACUUACUACACGGAUAACUGUAGUAAUUCUAGAGCUAAUACGUGCCUCGUGUGCCUGAUUCGUAAGAUGAAGGCCGCACUUAUUAGACCAUAAACCAACCGGGCUUGCCUGGCGUUUGGUGGUGACUCUGGAUAACUUUGUAUGAUCGCAGUCGGCCUUGUUGUCGGCGACGGAUCCAUGAAGUGUCUGCCCUAUCAACUUACGAUGGUAGGUGACAUGCCUACCAUGGUUAUGACGGGUAACGGGGAAUCAGGGUUCGAUUCCGGAGAGGGAGCCUGAGAAACGGCUACCACAUCCAAGGAAGGCAGCAGGCGCGCAACUUACCCACUCUCGGCGAGAGGAGGUAGUGAAGACAAAUAUCGAUACAGGACUCUUAAGAGGCUCUGUAAUCGAAAUGAGUGCAUUAUAAAUCCUACAACAAGGAUCUAUUGGAGGGCAAGUCUGGUGCCAGCAGCCGCGGUAACUCCAGCUCCAAUAGCAUAUAUUAAAAUUGCUGCAGUUAAAAAGCUCGUAGUUGGAUCUGGGUUCUGGUCUAGAAGCCGUGUGUGUAGUGUGCUUAUGAGAUUCAUGGGUACAUUAUGCUGCGGUAUUUCUGGACCGAAUCUUCCAGCUGUGUCUAUGUGGUGCUUCGGUAUCGCGUAGAUAGUAUCGAUUGUCUGGUCAGUUCCUUUUGGUUCUCCAGCGUCGGUACUACGCACUGUUAAUGCUCUUAACCGAGUGUUCAGUGUGGGCAGCACGUUUACUUUGAACAAAUUUGAGUGCUCAAAGCAGGCCUUAUGUUGCCUGAAAAGUCUUGCAUGGAAUAAUGAAAUAGGACUUCGGUCCUAUUUUGUUGGUUUAAUAGACCCGAAGUAAUGAUAAAAAGAGACAGACGGGGGCAUUUGUAUGGCAGCGCUAGAGGUGAAAUUCAUGGACCGUUGCCAGACAACCUAAAGCGAAAGCAUCUGCCAAGGAUGUUUUCAUUUACCAGGAGCGAAAGUCAGAGGUUCGAAGACRAUCAGAUACCGUCCUAGUUCYGACCAUAAACGGUGCCAUCUGAUGAUCCGUGGGGCCUCCUUUUGUGAGCCCACGGGCAAUCUCCGGGAAACCUGUAAGACUAUGGGUUCCGGGGAAAGUAUGGUUGCAAAGCUGAAACUUAAAGGAAUUGACGGAAGGGCACCACCAGGAGUGGAGCUUGCGGCUUAAUUUGACUCAACACGGGGAAACUCACCCGGACCGGACACUAUGAGGAUAGACAGAUUGAUAGCUCUUUCUUGAUUUGGUGAUUAGUGGUGCAUGGCCGUUCUUAGUUCGUGGUAUGAAUUGUCUGGUUAAUUCCGAUAACGAACGAGAUUCUAUCCUGCUAAAUAGUUCAUGUGUAACUUUGUGCGGUGGAUACGUCAGCUGGCUUCGGUUGGUUGGGUGUUGCCGUAUGAGCAUAUGGUACUUCUUAGAGGGAUUGGUGGAUAUUCAAGCCACACGAGAAAGAGCAAUAACAGGUCUGUGAUGCCCUUAGAUGUUCGGGGCCGCACGCGUGCUACACUGACAGUAGUAGAGAGUUUGGUAUCCUAGCGCGAAAGUGCUGGGCAAACUUUUCAAUUACUGACGUGCCUGGGAUCGGGGUUUGUAAUUAUCCCCCGUGAACCAGGAAUUCCUAGUAAGCACAAGUCAUCAGCUUGUGCUGAAUACGUCCCUGCCCUUUGUACACACCGCCCGUCGCUACUACCGAUUGAAUGGUUUAGCAAGGUCAAUAGAUCGACCGCAGUUUAGUGUAAACUGACUGUGGUUGAGAAGCUGGCCGAACUUGAUCAUUUAGAGGAAGUACAAGUCGUAACAAGGUUUCCGUAGGUGAACCUGCAGAAGGAUC
rnacentral:rRNA from 1 species